GCGUGAAGUUGGUACCCUGUUUUUAAGGGGUUUAAGGACCUGUUAUAUUGGCGGGCCUGCCCUCCGGAGGCAGAGGUCAGGGGUUCGAAUCCCUUCGGGCGCGCCA
rnacentral:tRNA from 1 species